rnacentral:rRNA from 2 species
UAGCAAUGCGGGCUCUAUAAUGCAAGUCGAGCGAACUGAUUAGAAGCUUGCUUCUAUGACGUUAGCGGCGGACGGGUGAGUAACACGUGGGCAACCUGCCUGUAAGACUGGGAUAACUCCGGGAAACCGGAGCUAAUACCGGAUAACAUUUUCUCUUGCAUAAGAGAAAAUUGAAAGAUGGUUUCGGCUAUCACUUACAGAUGGGCCCGCGGUGCAUUAGCUAGUUGGUGAGGUAACGGCUCACCAAGGCAACGAUGCAUAGCCGACCUGAGAGGGUGAUCGGCCACACUGGGACUGAGACACGGCCCAGACUCCUACGGGAGGCAGCAGUAGGGAAUCUUCCGCAAUGGACGAAAGUCUGACGGAGCAACGCCGCGUGAGUGAUGAAGGCUUUCGGGUCGUAAAACUCUGUUGUUAGGGAAGAACAAGUACAAGAGUAACUGCUUGUACCUUGACGGUACCUAACCAGAAAGCCACGGCUAACUACGUGCCAGCAGCCGCGGUAAUACGUAGGUGGCAAGCGUUAUCCGGAAUUAUUGGGCGUAAAGCGCGCGCAGGCGGUUUCUUAAGUCUGAUGUGAAAGCCCACGGCUCAACCGUGGAGGGUCAUUGGAAACUGGGGAACUUGAGUGCAGAAGAGAAAAGCGGAAUUCCACGUGUAGCGGUGAAAUGCGUAGAGAUGUGGAGGAACACCAGUGGCGAAGGCGGCUUUUUGGUCUGUAACUGACGCUGAGGCGCGAAAGCGUGGGGAGCAAACAGGAUUAGAUACCCUGGUAGUCCACGCCGUAAACGAUGAGUGCUAAGUGUUAGAGGGUUUCCGCCCUUUAGUGCUGCAGCUAACGCAUUAAGCACUCCGCCUGGGGAGUACGGUCGCAAGACUGAAACUCAAAGGAAUUGACGGGGGCCCGCACAAGCGGUGGAGCAUGUGGUUUAAUUCGAAGCAACGCGAAGAACCUUACCAGGUCUUGACAUCCUCUGACAACUCUAGAGAUAGAGCGUUCCCCUUCGGGGGACAAAGUGACAGGUGGUGCAUGGUUGUCGUCAGCUCGGGUCCGGAAAUGUUGGGUUAAGUCCCGCAACGAGGGCAACCCUUGAUCUUAGUUGCCAGCAUUUAGUUGGGCACUCUAAGGUGACUGCCGGUGACAAACCGGAAGAAGGUGGGGAUGACGUCAAAUCAUCAUGCCCCUUAUGACCUGGGCUACACACGUGCUACAAUGGAAGGUACAAAGGGUUGCAAAACCCGGGGGUCAGGCCAAUCCCUUAAAACCUUUUCCAGUCGGAAUUGUAGGCCGGCACUCGCCCACAUGAAAUCUGGAACCCUCAAAAUCGCGGAAUAAAUUGCCGCGGGAUACACUUUCCCGGGCCUUGUACACACCCGCCCCUGCAACCCAAGGUUUUAUAACACCCCAGAUUUGGGGGGUAACCUUUGGGGCCCAGCCCCAUAGGGGGCAAUGGUGUA